GGACAGUGAUGAAUGAAUCAUAUUGGUCUCGUUCGGCGUAAUGGUGUUCAAUGCGAAUACCUUGCCGACCAUCCUGAUAUAUCACCACCCAUAAACUGAGUCC